AUUCAGCAGAAAAGGCGAGCCAUCGGUACUUUGAAGUGGACCAGAGGAUAUGCUAGCUUCAGUAGUGGCAAACAUGUUGGUCCUUGUUAUUCUUCGAGAUGAUAUACCUGUCAUCAGUACUCAGUAGUGACCGGCUUCAACAAACUUCAGUUUCCUGUCCAGCUCACUCCCUAUCAGGUGUUGUGCGCCUAUCAUCCGGGGAGCUACUGCUCACAAUUAUAAUUUGUCUUUGUCGAGGUAAGUCUUUACUACUCCUUAAGACCCUAACGUAGGCGUCCACACUCAUGCUUAAGUCGUGCAAUUAUGAAUUAGUAAGCAUAUUUAAUACUAGAAUAGUUACUCUAGCCCUGUUCAAAAACCUGAGACUUAAAUCACAAUGCAGUGAGUUAUAUUCAACUUAUUGCUCGACCUGCCAUCCUAUCGCUUUGCAAAUUCGUGAGCGACCCGUCGUUGCAAUCCAAAUGUCGCCAUGUUCCUUCCAGGAUAACAUGACGUGCUCCACCUCGUAGACGGACCUGUGCCACUACUCAUCGUCAGCACGCCAUGACAGCCGCAGCAACAAGGUCACCUCCUCUCGGAACGGUGGCCGGUUCCUCGCCUCCCGCCACAGGAAAAUAUCACUCUCAGAUUUCUUCAUCUAUGGGUCGACGCAAUCCAAGAGUGACACACACCAGCAAUGAAUGGCUCUGGUAUUGACCAAGAUGAGAACAUGGAACAUUGAGACGUAUGUCAACCCAAUGAAUUGGAUAUUGAAGAAUGGCUGGAUAUAGAUGAACCAGCUGAUAUUUAUGUUCUUAGCUGUUUACGUGCAUCUGUUCGAUCUAUGGCUUCUCGGCGCUCUCCCAGGGAAGAAUGUGCGCCUUCAAAGGAAGGUGAACUUAAGAGUAAAAGCAGCUAAUGAGUUAUAGUUUAACAAAGAUGGCUCAGCUAUCAAGAAGCUCCAGACUGGAGUCAAUAAGCUUGUUACUGCUACUUCCUAACUGGUGCAUAGAUAAUUUAACGCCGCUUGUGCGGCAAUCUCCAUCUAUAUGUGACCUGCAAAAGAUAAAUCCUUAAAUAGUAGGUCAAUUGCGAAGCUUUGUUAGUGAUGAUCCGAUGAUCAAGAACCGAAGCACCUUCAAGAUUGGAACUGCAGAGUGGUCGGGUUCUCAGAUAAGAAUGAAUCAUAGAAAGUUAAUGUGUGCAUCCAUGGUUGUGGUCUUGACACGGCGGAGCGGACCUCGCUCGGGAAGCUGCUGCAGCCGGUAGACUAUUGAUUGGAACUUUUAGGUCAAUCCCUGUUUUGUUCCCAUGCUUGAAAUUGAUGGUCUUCAUUUUGUUGGUUGUGACAAAAGUCAAAACCGGAUGGAGGUGUUUAGUUGUGGAGCAGAUUGCGGGUUUUGAAUUUCUUUUCCAAAUGUCGUCUUCACGCCCACCGCGGAGGGGUGGUGACCGAAGAGAUAGUGGCAAAGGCGUCCCUUGUGGGCUCUGCUCCUAUCUCGCGGUAUGAAGCCUUUAACUUAUGAGAUGAGAUAGGAGUCUGUGUUCUUAUCCCAAUAUAAGGUCUACAAUGGCACAAUGCUUGUACCAUCUGUUUUUGCGGUAACUUAUUUUUUAUCAUGCAGUGCAUGUGAUUUGAAACUUUGUGUUAGCCUUUAUUGCUUUCUACCUUAUGGCACCUGUAGUAGUGAACUGAUGAUAUUAUUGUGGACUCUGAAGCUUUGUUUGCUUAGAAUGGUAAUUUUGUUGUAUUCUAUUUCACAGGAUAAAACCGAGUUGAGCAAUUGUCGUUCAUCUUAGUGCUAAUUUAUGGGUAUUGCUACUUAACAAUAACAUUUCGUUAUUGUUGUACGAAACCAGUGCUUCAUGGUAACAUAUAGUAUAUUGCUACUUAAAAAUGAUUGCCAGUUUUCCACAACACCCAUUUAAACAAGAUCGACAUAUGUGAUAUAUAGAAACCAUAGCAACACACGUAUAUGGCUGCAAUGUAGCGGUUCCGUUGCAACGCACGGGCACUCACCUAUUAAUUAUAUGGAUCUGUCUGGCAUGGUUGUGAAAAAAUAUAGUUAUGUACUGACCUCAUGAAAGAAUGUCGAUGACCAAAAUUUUCAUUUAAAAGCAUUUGUUU